rnacentral:rRNA from 1 species
CGAUCGCUGGCGGCGUGCUUAACACAUGCAAGUCGAACGGAAAGGCCCUGCUUUUGUGGGGUGCUCGAGUGGCGAACGGGUGAGUAACACGUGAGUAACCUGCCCUUGACUUUGGGAUAACUUCAGGAAACUGGGGCUAAUACCGGAUAGGAGCUCCUGCUGCAUGGUGGGGGUUGGAAAGUUUCGGCGGUUGGGGAUGGACUCGCGGCUUAUCAGCUUGUUGGUGGGGUAGUGGCUUACCAAGGCUUUGACGGGUAGCCGGCCUGAGAGGGUGACCGGCCACAUUGGGACUGAGAUACGGCCCAGACUCCUACGGGAGGCAGCAGUGGGGAAUAUUGCACAAUGGGCGGAAGCCUGAUGCAGCAACGCCGCGUGCGGGAUGACGGCCUUCGGGUUGUAAACCGCCUUCGCCUGUGACGAAGCGUGAGUGACGGUAAUGGGUAAAGAAGCACCGGCUAACUACGUG